rnacentral:rRNA from 1 species
GACGAACGCUGGCGGCGUGCUUAACACAUGCAAGUCGAACGGUGAAGCGCCUUCCUUUUUGGUGGGUGUGGAUGAGUGGCGAACGGGUGAGUAACACGUGAGUAACCUGCCCCCUUCUUCUGGAUAACCGCAUGAAAGUGUGGCUAAUACGGGAUAUUCUGGGUCUGUCGCAUGAUGGGUCUGGGAAAGAUGUUGUUUCGGUGGGGGAUGGGCUCGCGGCGUAUCAGCUUGUUGGUGGGGUGAUGGCCUAGCAGGGCGGUGAGGGGUAGCCGGCCUGGGAGGGUGGCCGGCCACAGUGGGACAGAGGCACGGCCGAGACUGCUACGGGGGGCAGCAGUGGGGGAUAGGGAACAAUGGGGGAAAGCGUGAUGCGGCGGCGCCGCGGGUGGGAUGGCGGCCUGCGGGUGAUGAACCUCUUUCGCUAGUGAAGCAGGCCUGCCUGGUUUGUGGGUGGGUUGACGGUAGCUGGAUAAGAAGCGCCGGCUAACUACGUG